CACCGCGGUUAUACGAGAGGCCCAAGUUGUCAGUUACCGGCGUAAAGAGUGGUUAAAGAAUAAAUUAUACUAAAGCCGAACACCCUCAAGGCAGUUAUACGCACCCGAAGGUUAGAAGCCCAAUUACGAAAGUAGCUUUAUUUCUCCUGAAUCCACGAGAGCUAUGGUA
rnacentral:rRNA from 1 species